AUGAACGCUGGCGGCGUGCUUAACACAUGCAAGUCGAACGAUGAAGCCGGAGCUUGCUCUGGUGGAUUAGUGGCGAACGGGUGAGUAACACGUGAGUAACCUGCCCUUGACUCUGGGAUAAGCGUUGGAAACGACGUCUAAUACCGGAUACGACGCGCGAAGGCAUCUUCUGCGCGUGGAAAGAAUUUCGGUCAAGGAUGGACUCGCGGCCUAUCAGCUAGUUGGUGAGGUAACGGCCCACCAAGGCGACGACGGGUAGCCGGCCUGAGAGGGUGACCGGCCACACUGGGACUGAGACACGGCCCAGACUCCUACGGGAGGCAGCAGUGGGGAAUAUUGCACAAUGGGCGCAAGCCUGAUGCAGCAACGCCGCGUGAGGGACGACGGCCUUCGGGUUGUAAACCUCUUUUAGUAGGGAAGAAGCGAAAGUGACGGUACCUGCAGAAAAAGCACCGGCUAACUACGU
rnacentral:rRNA from 1 species